AUGUUUAGACAAAAGAACAUUAUCAACCUCUAUGCACCAGAGAUUGUUGUUCCAAAUAAUGAUCUUGAAAAGCAAGUAUUGUCACUGAGAGAUAAAAAUGAAUUUCUUGAGAAUCAACAACAAAAAUUAAUUGAGGAGAUAAAAGAAUAUAAGAGGCAGAUUUUGCAUCAGCAACGUCUAAUAAAUGAAUCAAGCUCAAAGCGACAGAAAAUGGCUGAACAAUCAUCAGAUGGAGCAAUGAUUGCAGAGUCACUUCCCUUACAUAGAGCACAUGGUGGCAGUAGCGAUCUUUGCAAGUUUGUUCUCCAGAAUGAGUUUGUCCUGGAUGGAGCUCGAGUCAUGGGCAUAGAUGCAUCCAGCCAGAUUAUAGUAGCUUCUGGAAGGGCUCCUGGAGUUAGUGCUGAACAUGUCCUUACCAAGAUCUGCAUGUUCUCUAGACAGGAAACGAAAGUACGCCUUCCGCCUAACACUAAAGCUGUCAGGGAUAUUUGUAUAACUCCUGGGGGCCUUGCUAUUUUUGCAUCUCUUGGCAGGAAAUUGUCACUUCUCAGCAUGACAACCAACAAUGUUGUCCUUCAUUAUGAUCUACCGGCUCCAGGCUGGUCCUGUUCAGGGGAUCAAACUGGCCCCAACCACGUAUAUGCUGGAUUACAGAAUGGCAUGCUUUUGGUCUUUGAUACCCGCCAAACUAAAGGACCACUGCACUCCUUGAGUGGUCUAUCUACAAACCCAGUUCAUACAAUCCACUCUGUCGUAGAUGAUAACGGUUCCACGAAUAUCAUCUCUGCUUCUUCCAUAGGACCCUGCAUUUGGGAUGUAGAUGGCAAUGAAAACAGGCCAAAUUUGCUUACCGGGAUGGAAAACCAAGGGGUCUGCAUAUCCCUUGCAUGUGCCGCUCCAUCAAGUGAUCUGAUUGUGGCUUCCUUCCGUCCAAGGGUCGAGUUUUCGGGCGACGGCAGUGCAUCUCAAAUGGGUAUAUCACAAUCACCAACGCUCUCCGGUUCUGGAAAGCUCGGGUGCCACGCUCUCCUGAGGAGGACGAGCAGCACAUCCUUCGUGAAAGAGCAGAUCUGCAAUGCCAACGUGAGUGAGCUGCGGAUGUCGAAGUCUGCAAUCAUACCCUGCAGCGGAACCGGCCAACACCUCUUUGCCUAUGGCGAUGAGUCACUGCGCGGAGUCCGCACAUGGCGGCUGCCUUCGUUUCAGCUGUUCGCUGAUCUCAGGCCGCACCACCAACCGAUCCUUGACCUGAGGUUUGCGGAGAGCACCACCGGGGAGAAGUACCUUGGGUGCUUGAGCGAGGAGAAGCUGCAGGUCUUCAGAAUUAGGUCGUAG
rnacentral:rRNA from 1 species